UGUUAGUGAAUAAGGGCUAGGGUGCGAAACCCUAGCUGCCACCUCAUUCCAUUCCUCUCUCCUCUGUCAUUUCAUUGCAAAAAAUGGCGAUAUGGCAGAGGAAUUCAGCCCCCACCAGUCUUUGGACGGCUAGAACGGGUAGAUUUAAUGUUACUUCAUCCUUUUCCACCAUCUCUCACGAAACACACCCUUGCCAAGAUACGAUCCCACUCUCCUCUCUCCUUUUUCCUUUCUUUCCCGUUGAAUCGGCCUACUAAGCAUUAAUUGAUGCUGUACUUACCCAUUUGAACCUUUGAUUCCCAUUAGUUCCUUAAGAACCAACCUGAUCGAAGAAGGCGAGUCAUAUUGAGUCGUUCAUUAUUUGCUUUGUCUUAAUCUGGUUCGUUGAUUUCAAAUGCAAGCUUAAUUUUCUGAAAAAUUUACAAGUCCCUUAUUGAUUAUUUUUAGGAUUUCACUCAAACCCCCAUUUCAUUGGAAUAAAAGAGGAAAAAAAGGGGGCUUGACACAAAGACCCACGCACAAAACCCAGAUUUUGAGCACUUAUACUCGAAAUUAGGGUUCUCAGUUGAAAGUUUUAUACUCAACUGAAAGGUUGAGUUCUUCGUUUUUAAAUUUGUUUUUCUUUUAUUAGUGUGGCUGAGCUUUGAGUUGAGGAAGCACAAAAACGCUCCUAAAUCCAGUCUUGACCAAGGCUGCACCUCAAAAAGUUCAAGGAGGUGAUAGCAACGUUGGAUAUUGAAUCGAGGAACAAGAAAAUUGCGAAAUUGGAGCAAUUAAGAGUAGAAAUUCCUCCGAGAAAAUUAAGGCUAAAGGGGGCGACAAAGCGAACGGAUUUGCGAAUAGUCGUUAAACAGGUACAAAUAGUCUAUUUGGUGACUCUUCAGCAUAGGAAUUCUAUUCAGCUGUCUUGGAGAGCUCCGUUGUUCCAGAGUUUAGACUUUUGGUACAUAUCUUAUGAUAUAUAUGUAUGUUUAUCCAGGGGUACGACGGGGCCCUGUCCUAUCAUAUUUCGCUAUUCGUACUCUUAGAGGUCUGUAGACAUAUGUGUGGGUUGUGUAUAAGUUAUGUUCAGCUGUGUCUAUACGAUGUACUAUGAUAUGAUGUCCGUCUAUAGUGGUAGCCUUGUCGGCUUGCAUAUGACAUGAUAUUGAUGAGUAGUGGCAGCCUUGUCGGCUUGCGCAUCGUUUUAUAAUUUGAUCAGGUGUGACUCCUCAGGAGACAGUUUAUCUGAAUAUACAUAUAUGACGACGUUAUGAACCGUUGGAGUUCUUUUGCAAGUUUCCAUAUUAUUCAUAGAUUCAGUUUGAUUAUAUGUAACAGGUCGUAUACGGGUGUCCAGUUCGGGCACUAAUCAUGGCCCACGGGGU